rnacentral:rRNA from 1 species
AGAUUGAACGCUGGCGGCAUGCCUUACACAUGCAAGUCGAACGGUAACGCGGGGCAACCUGGCGACGAGUGGCGAACGGGUGAGUAAUGCAUCGGAACGUGCCCAAUAGUGGGGGAUAGCUCGGCGAAAGCCGGAUUAAUACCGCAUACGACCUACGGGUGAAAGCGGGGGAUCGCAAGACCUCGCGCUAAGUGGAGCGGCCGAUGUCAGAUUAGGUUGUUGGUAGGGUAAAAGCCUAACCAAGCCGACGAGUCUGUAGCGUGGUCUGAGAGGACGACCAGCCACGACCGGACUGAGACGACGGCCCAGACUCCGUACGGGAGGC